UACGGGGGGAGCAAGCGUUGUUCGGAUUUACUGGGCGUAAAGGGCGCGUAGGCGGCCACCGCAAGUCGACUGUGAAAUCUCCGGGCUUAACCCGGAAAGGUCAGCCGAUACUGCGGGGCUAGAGUGCAGAAGGGGCAACUGGAAUUCUACGGUGUAGCGGUGAAAUGCGUAGAGAUCCGGAGGAACCCCAGAGGCGAAGGCGGCGCCCUGGCUCGCAACUGACGCUCAGACACGACAGCAUGGGGAGCGAACGGG
rnacentral:rRNA from 1 species